AGUCGAGGGGCAGCGGGGCGGCAGGCUUGCCUGCCGUUGCCGGCGACCGGCGCACGGGUGAGUAACACGUAUGCAACCUGCCCGUGGCAGGGGGAUAAGCGGGGGAAACCCCGUCUAAUACCGCGUAACGCGGCCUAGGGACAUCCCAAGGCCGCCAAAGGGAGCAAUCCCGGCCACGGAUGGGCAUGCGGCGCAUUAGCUAGUCGGCGGGGUAACGGCCCACCGAGGCGACGAUGCGUAGGGGUUCUGAGAGGAAGGCCCCCCACACUGGUACUGAGACACGGACCAGACUCCUACGGGAGGCAGCAGUGAGGAAUAUUGGUCAAUGGGCGCGAGCCUGAACCAGCCAAGUCGCGUGAGGGAGGACGGCCCUACGGGUUGUAAACCUCUUUUGCCGGGGAGCAACGGGCGUCACGUGUGGCGCCACUGAGAGUACCCGGAGAAAAAGCAUCGGCUAACUCCGUGCCAGCAGCCGCGGUAAUACGGAGGAUGCGAGCGUUAUCCGGAUUUAUUGGGUUUAAAGGGUGCGUAGGCGGAUCGUUAAGUCAGUGGUCAAAUUGAGGGGCUCAACCCCUUCCCGCCAUUGAAACUGGCGUUCUUGAGUGGAAGAGAAGUAUGCGGAAUGCGUGGUGUAGCGGUGAAAUGCAUAGAUAUCACGCAGAACUCCGAUUGCGAAGGCAGCAUACCGGCGCCCUACUGACGCUGAGGCACGAAAGCGUGGGUAUCGAACAGGAUUAGAUACCCUGGUAGUCCACGCAGUAAACGAUGAAUGCUAACUGUCCGGCGCGAAUGAGCGCUGGGCGGUACAGCGAAAG
rnacentral:rRNA from 1 species